rnacentral:rRNA from 1 species
AGGAAGUAAAAGUCGUAACAAGGUUUCCGUAGGUGAACCUGCGGAAGGAUCAUUAACGAAUUGUUAAUGGGGGUUGAUGNUGGCAGCUGUCUCUUGGCUGCAUGUGCUCGCUUCCAGCAAUCCUUAUCCAAACACCUGUGCACCUUCUGGGUUUUCCGAGCGGGUUUCUCGGAUUUCCCUUUGUUUAUACACACACUGCCUGUAAUGUUGAACGUGAUUGUGCCGUNAAGGCUUUAACAUAAUACAACUUUUGACAACGGAUCUCUUGGCUCUCGCAUCGAUGAAGAACGCAGCGAAAUGCGAUAAGUAAUGUGAAUUGCAGAAUUCAGUGAAUCAUCGAAUCUUUGAACGCAUCUUGCGCUCCCUGGUAUUCCGGGGAGCACGCCUGUUCGAGUGUCGUGAAAUUAUCAAGUCAGGAAGAUUUUUUUUGGUCUCCUGGCCUUGGUUUUUGGGCUUUGCCGUGCCCUUUAUUGGAACGGCUGGCCUUAAAAGUAUUAGCUGACUCCUAUGGUGUUGGUUCCACUCAGCGUGAUAAUGAUAUGACCGCCGAGGGACAUCCUUUGGGAUGGCCAAUUCUUGUUGGAGUUGCUUCUAAAUCUGGCUUUACGGGUUUUCUAAACCUGUUCCACUUUCAGUUUUGGCCUCGAAUCAGGCGGGACUACCCGCUGAACUUAAGCAUAUCA